GGGGGGGGGCGUGUCUCUGGUCUCUAACCUCCCCCCCUGUCCCAUGCAGGGUUCGCCUGCUCCUUCGGCCAGCAGCUCCCUAAUGGGUGGUGCCGUGAGUGAAUCAAGUCUGUCAUGUUCAUCUGGAGGGCAUUCACAUGCCGAAGAAGCCCCCCCAGCCUGAUGCAGGGUGACGCCAGCGAGCUGGAUUUUGGGGCGGUGCAGCGGGGGGACCCCAAGAUGGAGCAGAAGAUGAACCAGGUGUUGCAGGGCUGAGUGGGGAUAUCAGCCCCAUCUGCAGCUUUCAUGACCAGGGGGCUGAGGGCAACGGUUUGCAACAUGGUUGGCAGAGUGACCACUCUGAAGCUUCAGGAGGGAACAAAGCCAAAGGACUAGGAGGGUGGGGGUUAGCUGAAGAGCCCCUCGCCCUUGCUAAACAGGUAGCUGAACAAGGUCCGUGCUCAUGGAGACAAGAUUCUUUCCAGGGGAGAGACGUCCUUGAGUCUGUUUGUAAGGGAUUUGACUCAUUCUGUAAGUGCGUGAAACCAAAGGAAAAGCUAUCGAAGUAGCAGCUGCCACAAAGACAUUGUGGAAAGCUGUCGCUGAUCGCUCCAGCCUGGUAGCACUCCGGGAAACACAACUGGAAGAUUACAAAUUGCAGUUGGAUACAGUUAAGGAUAAUUUGGCUCAGUAGAAGGCAUCACAGGCAAAACCAGGAGAGCGUCAGCAACUGAAAGUAGAAAACCCGGGGAAGUAUCUACAUUGCAAUCGAAGCUGGGGGAUGCUCAGGCGGCUGUCAGAACGGUGUUUCAAGAAAAUAACGAGGGGGCCCGGACAAAUAGUGACCACGCAGUCUGCAGGCAGCGGACAGUAGCAGCAGUAAGAGGAGAAGUAAGUGCGAGCACCAGGGAUACAGACACCUGGAAUGAUACUUGGAACGGGGAUAUUUGAAUUGAUCCCGAACAGAGAGAUCUUGGAUGGUCAUAUCCUUCUGAUCUACUUUUCCUGAAGGGCCCUAUGGCCCUGUGCAAAGGGAAUUGCAGGAUUUUAAAUUAGAGGCUGUGAUGUUGUGCAGUCUAUAUGGUUUUAUAAAAAUAUGGUAAGUGAAUAUAACGUAACUGGGAUAUGCUUCAUGCAA